rnacentral:rRNA from 1 species
GAUGAACGCUGGCGGCGUGCCUAAUACAUGCAAGUCGAGCGAACGGACGAGAAGCUUGCUUCUCUGAUGUUAGCGGCGGACGGGUGAGUAACACGUGGAUAACCUACCUAUAAGACUGGGAUAACUUCGGGAAACCGGAGCUAAUACCGGAUAAUAUUUUGAACCGCAUGGUUCAAAAGUGAAAGACGGUCUUGCUGUCACUUAUAGAUGGAUCCGCGCUGCAUUAGCUAGUUGGUAAGGUAACGGCUUACCAAGGCAACGAUGCAUAGCCGACCUGAGAGGGUGAUCGGCCACACUGGAACUGAGACACGGUCCAGACUCCUACGGGAGGCAGCAGUAGGGAAUCUUCCGCCAUGGGCGAAAGCCUGACGGAGCAACGCCGCGUGAGUGAUGAAGGUCUUCGGAUCGUAAAACUCUGCUAUUAGGGAAGAACAUAUGUGUAAGUAACUGUGCACAUCUUGACGGUACCUAAUCAGAAAGCCACGGCUAACUACGUG